rnacentral:rRNA from 1 species
AUACGGAGGAUGCGAGCGUUAUCCGGAUUUAUUGGGUUUAAAGGGUGCGUAGGCGGCCUUGUAAGUCAGCGGUGAAAUUUUGCAGCUUAACUGUAAAAGUGCCGUUGAUACUGUGAGGCUAGGAUUUGGUUGCUGUGGGUGGAAUGUGUGGUGUAGCGGUGAAAUGCUUAGAGAUCACACAGAAUAUCGAUUGCGAAGGCAGCUCACAAAGCCAAGAUUGACGCUGAGGCACGAAAGUGUGGGGAUCAAACAGGAUUAGAUACCCUGGUAGUCCACGCAAUAAACGAUGAUUACUGGCUGUUUGCGAUAUAAUGUAAGCGGCUGAGCGAAAGCGUUAAGUAAUCCACCUGGGGAGUACGUUCGCAAGAAUGAAACUCAAAUGAAUUGACGGGG